GCAUAUCAAUAAGCGGAGGAAAAGAAACCAACAGGGAUUGCCCUAGUAACGGCGAGUGAAGCGGCAACAGCUCAAAUUUGAAAGCUGGCCUUCUGGCCCGCAUUGUAAUUUGUAGAGGAUGCUUUUGGUGCGGUACCUUCCGAGUUCCUUGGAACAGGACGCCUUAGAGGGUGAGAGCCCCGUACGGUUGGAUGCCUAGCCUGUGUAAAGCUCCUUCGACGAGUCGAGUAGUUUGGGAAUGCUGCUCUAAAUGGGAGGUAAAUUUCUUCUAAAGCUAAAUAUUGGCCAGAGACCGAUAGCGCACAAGUAGAGUGAUCGAAAGAUGAAAAGCACUUUGAAAAGAGGGUUAAAUAGCACGUGAAAUUGUUGAAAGGGAAGGAUUUAUCGCCAGACCUUUGCCUGGCGGAUCAUCCGGUGUUCUCACCGGUGCACUUCGCCAGGCCGAGGCCAGCAUCGAUUUUGGCCGGGGGAUAAAGGCUUUGGGAAUGUGACUCCCCCCGGGGAGUGUUAUAGCCCGCUGCGUAAUACCCUGGCCGGGAUCGAGGUCCGCGCUCUGCAAGGAUGCUGGCAUAAUGGUGAUCAAUCACCCGUCUUGAAACACGGACC
rnacentral:sRNA from 1 species